UUUCGCUACAAGAAGCAUCUGUCAAAAUGCAGCCAUGGUUUAGUUAUUUUUCAAAAAAAUGGUGUUCCUACGUUCGGACGAAAAAUGUUACGCACAAACGGACUCAUCACGCCUUUAACAUGAGCCUGCUGUUGGAAUCCGAAUCCGAUGCGGAGUUGUUCCGAGCUCGCAGCAAACUCACGGUGCAUCAUCGUAAACGUUUGGAAACUCGUUGGUACCCGAGCAGAUGCCUUGCGAAAUUUCUCGUGCCGCCAAAGUUGGCGUUCGUCAUCCCUGCCUGGACCAGAUGCGCAAUCUGUUGCGUGUACCGGCUCGUUAUGCUGCUGCUACCACUGUUGAGCGUUCCGUUGUGGUUACUGGCUGCUUAUAUCGUGGUUAUAGAGCACCUUGUGUGCUGUAUAUUAACCUGCUCUAAUCCGCUCCGGUUCAGCCGAACGGGAAAUAUUUUUCCACGAAUUGAGUCAAUAUGUUAGUCGCACUCCACCGCAAAACCAUAGCGCCGGUGCUGGUGGUUAGCGCAAGCCCGCUGUCAUUAAGAUAUCUGAGUUGAGUAUGAGUUGAGGAUUUGGUUGCUGGUUUAGAAAAUUAAUAAUAGCGACAGUAACAUUGACAGUGUGUUUGCAGCU